UACUAAGCCAUGCGAGUCUUUGCAGUAAUGCAAGGCAUACGGCUCAGUAACACGUAGUCAACCUACCCUAUGGACGAGAAUAAUCUCGGGAAACUGAGCAUAAUUCUUGAUAGAUCAUAAUGCCUGGAAUGGUUUAUGGUUAAAAUGAUUCGUCGCCAUAGGAUGGGACUGCGGCCUAUCAGCUUGUUGGUGAGGUAAUGGCCCACCAAGGCGAUUACAGGUACGGGCUCUGAGAGGAGAAGCCCGGAGAUGGGUACUGAGACACGGACCCAGGCCCUAUGGGGCGCAGCAGGCGAGAAAACUUUGCAAUGUGCGAAAGCACGACAAGGUUAAUCCGAGUGAUUUCUGCUAAAGAAAUCUUUUGCCAGUCAUAAAACCACUGGUGAAUAAGGGGUGGGCAAGUUCUGGUGUCAGCCGCCGCGGUAAAACCAGCACCUCAAGUGGUCAGGAUGAUUAUUGGGCCUAAAGCAUCCGUAGCCGGCUUUGUUAGUUUUCGGUUAAAUCCAUGUGCUCAACGCAUGGGCUGCCGAAAAUACUGCAUAGCUAGGGAGUGGGAGAGGUAGACGGUACUCAGUAGGAAGGGGUAAAAUCCUUUGAUCUAUUGAUGACCACCUGUGGCGAAGGCGGUCUACCAGAACACGUUCGACGGUGAGGGAUGAAAGCUGGGGGAGCAAACCGGAUUAGAUACCCGGGUAGUCCCAGCUGUAAACGAUGCAGACUCGAUGAUGCAUUGGCAUAAUAGCCAGUGCAGUGUCGCAGGGAAGCCGUUAAGUCUGCCGCCUGGGAAGUACGUACGCAAGUAUGAAACUUAAAGGAAUUGGCGGGGAGCACCACAAGGGUGAAGCCUGCGGUUCAUUGGAGUCACCGCCGGA
rnacentral:rRNA from 1 species